GACGAAGGUGGCGAGCGUUGUUCGGAAUCAUUGGGCUUAAAGCGCACGUAGGCGGCUCAUCAAGUGUCUUGUGAAAGCCCCCGGCUCAACCGGGGAAUUGCUGGGCAUACUGAUAGGCUUGAGGCAGGUAAGGGCGAGUGGAACUCUUGGUGGAGCGGUGGAAUGCGUAGAUAUCAAGAGGAACGCCGGUGGUGAAGACGAUUCGCUGGGCCUGUCCUGACGCUGAGGUGCGAAAGCCAGGGGAG
rnacentral:rRNA from 1 species